GCCACACCGAAACUGCUUCUGCUUUUCCAGUUAGAGCCGGCACUUGCCUCUCCUCUACGCUGUCUGCCUCUCAUUAGCAGAGUUCAAUCCCAGCCUGCACAUGGCUUCUAUUCCCGUAGCACCCCACCCCCGCCGUGACCAGAGUAUGAUGGGAGAAACACAUGAGAGAGAAGGUCACUUACAUCUUGGUGGCCAGGAAGCAAAGAGAGCGUCAGGAAAGAGCAACAGGAAAAUACCCAGGAAGGAGCAAAGGGCAAGAACCCAGGAAGGAACUUGAAACGCCUGUCUCCAGUGAGGACAUCCUUCAACCAGUCCCCACCCCCUAACACUUCUGUCACCUCCCAAUAAAGCUGUCCACAUCGGAAUCUGACAACUGAUAAACCC